AGUAACACGUGAGUGACCUGCCUUUUAGACUGGAACAACUUACCGAAAGGUGAGCUAAUGCCGGAUGAGUUAUAUAAGUGCAUGUUUAUAUAGGAAAAGUUGGGGAGACCUGACGCUGAAAGAUGGACUCGCGUCCCAUCAGCUAGUUGGUAGGGUAAUGGCCUACCAAGGCGACGAUGGGUAGCCGGCCUGAGAGGGUGGCCGGCCACACUGGGACUGAGACACGGCCCAGACUCCUACGGAAGGCAGCAG
rnacentral:rRNA from 1 species